rnacentral:rRNA from 1 species
GUCUACAGCCAUACCACCCUAAACGCGCCCGAUCUCGUCCGAUCUCGGAAGCUAAGCAGGGUCGGGCCUGGUUAGUAUUUGGAUGGAAGAAGUACUGAUUUUAAAAGGCA